rnacentral:rRNA from 1 species
ACAUGCCUACAACAUAAUGUUAAUGCACCAUAUCCCAUUAGAAUUCAGUAGUUAAGCACGCUUGGGAUAGAGUAGUAUUGGGAUGGGUGAUCGCCUAGGAAGUCCUAGUGUUUUACAUGUG